rfam:Desulfuromonadaceae bacterium GWC2_58_13 gwc2_scaffold_3178, whole genome shotgun sequence.
UGUCCCUUUUAAGUUAAUCCAGAGAGGUUAGCAAAGGUGGCGAUAAAACAGAGAUCCAUAGUUGGAGAUUAUCCAAGUACAGAUACCUUUUCGCUUGCCGGCGGAGAGGUAUUUUUUUA